rnacentral:lncRNA from 9 species
AUGCCUCCUAUGACUGCAGUGGAAUGAAGGGCGCACGCGUUCUAGCAUUUCACAGACCCGUGUCUCGCCUCCUCUGCUCGCACCUGCAUCCCCAGCCCUGUACGGAUGCCUGUUCUGUGCAGGCUGUCCUGCUCACCACCAACUUCAAGAUGGACAAAGAACAAAAGUGACCUGCCUCACAUCCCUUUUGGAAGGACGCACACUUCCAGAUCCUGUUUGACAAAUUCAGGCCAAGGGCAGGUGCUCUCGACAGAGAGAUUGCUUCCUCCUCCGAACUGCAUCUUUCACAGUCAUCAGCCGAGCCAGGUGGUCCCAGCCGGGCCAGGGAGCCGCACCGAUGCAAAGCCCCCGCCUCCUGAAUCCUCAAGCAGCAUCGGCAAAACACAGAACCUGAAGCGAUGGCCGGGGUGGUGCAGAGUUGAAAAUGUUUCCGUAUCGGUCGUGUUACGGAUGCGGAGAGCAAGGUGGGGGCUGAAGGGAGGGAGAAGACAGGCCUAAUCCGGAAAAGGUGGGCUCUGGGCAUUGCCCUCCCCUCCUGGCUCAUGUCAUCUCCCCUGAGCUGGAUGCCAAGCUGGCACACACGUUUUCAGAGAUAACGGGAUGCUUGAAGGCUUCAGAAUGAAAAUGACAGUCUUCAACUGCACACUUGGUGGCAGAGGCUGCCUGCGUCUGCUCUCGGCCAGAUGCCCUCCCAACCAGGAGCCUCCCCUGGGCACCUCUCACCUCGCUCACGACGUCUCAGAAGCCAGCAGGCUCGGGUUUGGGGCUGUGCCUAUACAGGGAUUCUUCUCUGGAAGGCCUUCUGGCUUAAGAUGACUCCCCUCAAAAGGAGCAGUUGCUGAAGCCUUUGAAAGACAAUGGUCCACACCCCUUAAUCAGCAUCCCUUAAUUCAAGAGAGCUUGAAAUUAAAAUAUUUACACGUUAUUUUUCUCUUUCCUCUCUCCUUUUUUUUUUUUUUUUUUUUUUUUUUUUAAGUAAACAGAGUUGUCCUUAUUUGCGUGCCCAGGUUUUUAAUCGGACCACUCCCUGCGUUUUGGGUCUUUGGCAGCAGGGCCGUGCAGGGUGGAGGAAGUCUGGUCUGUCUCCUCCUCCACCGGGCAGAGCAGAUGCCAGGAGAAGCCAGAGAGAUCUUUCUAGAGUGGGAGAAACAAGAUAGCGGAGACCAGCCAAACUGCCCCUGGUGUUCGAGUCGGGCAUGGAAGGGCUCACACCCUGCCAGCUUUGGAAGGGAACAGGGGGCCAUAGGCGACAUGGGAUUUUGAGGAGGAUUAUGGCUACCUUGAAAGCAAUCAUGGGCAGAAGAUUCUAGAAAUCUAGGUCUUUUUUUUCCCCCACAUUGAUUAGAGCUUGAAAGAAGUCUCUGUAUGUUGUGAGUAUGGUGUUGCUCUCGGCUCCCGGUUGAGUGAGCGCUGGCCUGUGCUCCAAAGUGAGAUACAGAAAAUAGAGAUGUUUCUUGGCACAUGGAACCGUCAGGAAGUGGGAAAGGGCUUCGAGAUUUAUCCUUAAGUUGCAAACCAGUGAUCUUGGUUGCUCGUGUCUUCGUUCCUUCUGGGCGGAUGCAAGCUCAACAAGAGUUUAAAGUAAUAAUAAUAGCACUUACUGAAUAUCGAGCACAUACCACUGCCAGGCAUUAUUUGGACUGUAACCUGCCCGACUGAAUGGGGUGGGGGUGCACUCGUGGUGCCCGAGUUGCAGAUGCAGGAACGGAUGUAGAGCUCUAGCUAACGCCCCACGGUCGUGCGGCUCUCAGAGGCUGAGCGGGAAUCCGGGAUCCCCCUCCCUUGGGAUGGGGGCAGUCAGUUCCCGCAGCCUCUGCCAAAUGAGAUGGCUUUAGAUGUUUUCAAAGCCCCUCCCAGGCCUUGCUUCAGUCAGUGCAAAUCCUCCCUCCCGCUUCCACUAGCCCUGCCUCAAGAAAGGGGCAUCCACGCUACUGACGCUGCCCGAGGCAAAGGAGAGGUGGCAUUUAACACCCAGCACUGCCUCUCACACCCCUUCCUGGGUGCUUGGAGGGGAACCUUCACACUCUGAGCAAAAUACGUGGGUUCCUGCAGGCAGAGGGCCUUGGUGGCGAUCUCCGCAGAUGAGGCCUGCACCUUAACACGGUGUAGGAACAACCCUGAGAUGCCAGAAAAGUCAGCCAAACACCGAUGAACUCUGAAGACACUGCAGUAAGUGAAAUCAACCAGACACAGAAGGACGCAUACGGUGCAGUCCACCCCCACCAGCCCAAGAAGUACCUAAAGCAGUCAAAUCCAUCAAGACAGAGAGCAGAACGGUGGCUGCUGGAGGCUGAGGGAGGGCUGGGGGUGGGGGGAGCUAGAGUUUAAUGGCUGAGGAGUCUCAGUUUGGGAAAAAGUUCUGGAAGUGGAUGGUGCUGAUGGUGGUGCCAUGUGCAUGCACUUAGUACCACCGAGCUCCAUGCUUAAACAUGGUUAGAACGGCAGAUUUUCUGUUACGUGUAUCUCACCACAAUAAAAAAGAAAAUAAAUGAGUAUCUCCAAAAGUAUCUUAUUGUUUGUUUGUGAUUAUAUAAUGUGCAUUUGUUAAAAUUAAAUAGGGAGAAGUAUAAAAAUCCAAUUAAAAUAACAAUUUUCACCAACUAGAGUUCACUGUAAUUAUGAUGUCUAUCCAAUCUUUUCCCUUUGAUUCUAUCUUAUGCACAGAAUCUGCAAUGUUGAGUUCAUGCUCUCAAAGCAGGUAUUUAUUCAUUUCUCUUCACUGAACAUCACCUCCUGAGCCGCUCCCAGGCGAUUAACAUGCAUCUGUAAACACAACUGUCACUGCGCCUCACAGGUCAGGCAUGCUGUAAUGCAUAGAGCUCUCCCUCUAUUUUUGGACACUUAGGUUUUUCCGAUUUUUUUUUUUUCGUUUUUUUUUUUUUUUUUUUUUUUUUUACUUCAUAAAGAGCAUUAAAGCAGUCAUCCUAGUUGGCGAACUGCUGUCCGCCUCUGAUUCUUUCCUUACGACAGGCUCCUAGAAACAGAGGUACUGGGUAAAGGACAGGUUGUAUAUUUGAGAAACUGUUUCACUAACUCUGUGUGUGUGUGUGUGUGUGUGUGUGUGUGUGUGUGUGUGUGUGUGUGUGUGUGUGUGUGUAGAUGUGUUUGAAUGCUCAUCAUCCCUUAAACCAAACCUAGAGAUCUGAGCCAAGGAGGCCUGUUUGGCAAAACUGAAAGAGACAAAGUCUGAGGUUUUGUUUGUGCAAAACACGUUUCCUUUCCCACAGGGAGGUGUGAGGUUAGGUACAGGUCAGGGGCCCCAGCUCGGUCCUGGUCCUGGCUGCUCACACAGGCCUUCAGCGAGCCUCCUGCUUGGAAG